ensembl:lncRNA
GCUUCGCCGCCGUGCAGGUGGAGCAUCAACAUACACCACACGGCUCGGGCUCUUCUCAUCGCCUCUAAUCUCCUUGAUGUAAAAAGCUGAUGAAGUUGCCGAGGCGCAGACGGCUCCGUCUCCGGCCUUUUCUCUCUCUCUCUCUUUUUUUCUUUUCUUCCGCUGUGUGUUUUUGUAAUGGCGCUGUCAUAACCGCUCUGCUCCGUCCGGGCCUAAGUGAAUCUGAGGCGCCAUCUUUUAAACGAGGCUAACAAAUGAACACGUUUCUCCCCCCCCCCCCACACCCUCCUAUCAAACGGCCCCUGACAGUGAUGCAUGGGCUUCCAGAUGAGCUCUGAAAAACUGAUGGAUCUGCGACGGUACAAGCGCUUAGAUAAACUAAUGCAUGUAAUUAUGUUUUCCAUUCCGAGGCAUCUUAUUACAAUAUCAUUAGUUGAAAUGGUCGGCAAAAAAAUACAAAUAUUACAGUUUGCCAUUUUCCUCCCUCCUUGUUUUUUUGGGCCAUGUGGGGUGAUUACUGGAAGUUGAUUUCUUUGACUGGAAUAAAAACAAAUUGAAUUUGUUUGCUCCUCGGGCAGACGUUAUCCGGCGUCUCUGUAAGUGUUGGUAAUUGUUGGAAGUCUUGUCCACUGCUGAUGUUGAGGCCGUGGAGACGGUCCGAUGUCCUGCUGGAGAUGGAAGUUCACUGGGUGCGAUUUGCAAAACGUGUCCUGUUUUUAUAAUUUGUCAUUUGAGUACACGUAUGAAAAGACACCAAAGGGGUGAAGGCCGAACAGACUUAUUCCGACAUUUAGAUGUAUUUUUGGUACAAAAGUAGUGAAAUGUCUUUGUUUGCUCAUGAUGUUUUAAGAAAGCUGAUGGGAUGCUUUAUGAUGACAGUUCCCUGUAUUGCUAAGCUUCGACACUCUUAAUGGGAGAUGGCAUGUGUCACUGGUAGGGUAACAAAUUCUUAAUUUCAUUUUCUAUUGACUAAUCAGUUGAUUGCUUCAAUCAGGGACGGAGAUCUGAGUCGAACCAAGCCUGCAGGUUGGGUUUCCGUUCUGCUUAGUAUAUGGAGCGGUGCUUCAUCCUGUGUGUGUGCAGCUCAUCUCAUGGGCUCUGGUGUGUAAUGUUACAGUCCAUGCUACUGCUGAGGAAAGGUUGUGUGUGCAUGCAUAUUGCAUCUCUAAUUAGCCGCCUCUCUCCCGCUCUAAUAAAUACUCUCUCGCUCUCUCUCUCUUCCUGCUGGAGUGGGCCAUGCAACAGCUGUGAGGUGUGUGUGUGUGUGUGUGUGUGUGUGUGUGUAAGUGGAGGGACUAUUUUAGCAUCCGAGUACAUAUGACUGUGUGUGUACUUGUUAGUCUCGGGCUGUGUCUGUAUGUUUAAACAUGCAUAAUGCUACUCUCACUGUGUGUGUGUGUGUGUGUGUGUCCUCGCACCACGCUGCAGCAGCUGCGUGUGUGUGUGUGUGUGUGUGUGUGUGUGAUGUUGUGGAGGAGCGAGGGCUCAUGUCGGGAGCUGUAGUGGAGCUCAUUAGGUGGGGUGGGGGGGGGUACCAGGGGAGCUCGGGCCGCCGCGGCUCCCAGCGCUCCUCUCCGGGCCGCCGUGCCGCCUGGCCGGGCCCCUCAGCCGCGGCCCUUCAUCUGCGCACAUCGCUGUGAAGGCUGGAGCUGUCGUGUGACGGGCGGCACUUCACACCAGCGUCGGGCUUGUUUGUGGCUGGUUUUUGUGCAGCGUUCCAGAAGAAAAAUCUAAUCUUGGGUGGGAUGUUGAGUAAUGGGCUAGGUGUUUUAAAAAAAAAAAUUGAAACAAUACUGGCAGCUGCAUUUUUAUUAAUCCGACAAUUAUUUUUUGAUUAAGCAUUUGUUUAUUUUGUCAAGAAUUUUCCUAAAACUGAAGGUGGCCAAAAUAUGAAGCUGGAAUCUGAGAAAGUGAGAACAUGUGUUCACUGGCAAGGAGUUAUUUAUCAUCGGAAUCCUUAGUAAUUAAUUAUCUCAACCAAUCUAUUAAUUAAUGCUUCUGCAAUGUGGGAAAGAAGGUUUACCCACCGGGAAGUACUCGUGAAACGUGAGUGGGGCGGUUUUAUUUUUACAAAAAACAUAUAUAUUUUUAAUAAAAUGUCCAUCACACAGAACGAGUUUUUGUUACUCAUUUAAUAAAAAAAUCCUUUAUUUAAGUGUCGUUGUCACGGCAAAAGAAAUGAGGUCACCGCUUGGCAAAAAUAUGCAAAAUGGAAGAAAAUACAAACGUGCAGCUGACAGAGCACAGCAGGAAAUGAGUGAAGCCGCGUCGCUGAUGACAGUCGUCAUACUUUCACCGAGACGCGCGGCCGUUUUGUGCUGUGUUUUCAUUGGCUGGGACGAGCGUGACGCAUGUUCAUGAUUCAACAUGAAUCUGAAUACAUUCGAGCAGCAGUUAAAGGUGUGCC